ensembl:rRNA 5S_rRNA 5S ribosomal RNA
AUCUAUGGCCAUACCACCCUGAUCCUGGAAGCUAAGCAGGGUCGGGCCUGACCAGUAGUUUGAUUGGAGGUUGCCUGGGAAUACCGGGUGUGGUGUGCU